CCCAGUUUGCUAAAUUAUUUCUCCUUUCUCCCUCCAAAAUCGCUUGGAUCUCUUCUCAAGCACAAUUUUUUUUUCCACCAACUAUUCAAUUUCUCUCUCACUUUCCUUCAUUUUCCGUCCUCAGAUCACCGUCACCGUAUUUUAUAUCAAUUCACACUGCUAAUUGACUAAUUGAUUUGAUUCCAAUUUCCAACGCCACAAAGAUCUAGGGUUUCCGCUGAAUCCCGCAGCUCCUCAACCGCAUUCAAUCAUCCAAUCGUUUACACGUUCUUCGAUUCAAACCCAUUGAAAUUCAGCUCGCUACAGUCUCGAAAGAAUUGUAAAAGAAGAAUUUUGAUUGAAAGAGUCGGUGUGAUUUUGAUCUAUCUUUGUGGUGUGACAGUUUUGUGUUCUGGUGAAUGAGAGAUGAGCAUGGAGGUGGUCGUCGAUGCGGCGUCGUUGGACGUCGAGCUGUUGCAGCUACCGGAGCUUUCCGGAUUGGCACUCAAGUCUAACCUCAAUUUCGUCGAGAAGCUCUUCGACCAGUGGCUUUCUCUUCCAGACAGCAAUCGACUGGUAACAUCACUGCUCAAUGAAGCAAAGUCAGGUGCUCCUUUGAACGUCACUGGAAAUUGCUCUAGUCCAAAUGCUUCAAGUAAUUCGUUGCCUUCCAUGUUCCCUGCUGGCACUGCUCCGCCUCUUUCACCAAGAAGUUCAUCUGGUUCCCCUCGCAUAGUGAAACAAAGAGCUGGCCCUUCCAAUUUGAGCUCUCCUUUGAAAGUUGUCAGUGAGCCAGUUAAAGAAGUGAUACCUCAGUUCUACUUUCAACAUGGACGUCCUCCUCCAAAUGAACUGAAAGAACAAUGCAUGUUAAGAAUUGAUCAGUUAUUCCAUGAUCACUUGGAUGGCCUGCAGAUGCAUGAAUUCAAAUUACUUACCAAGGAAGUAUGCAAGCUGCCAUCUUUCUUUUCAACUUCACUUUUCAGAAAGAUUGACAACGGAACUGGUGUUGUGACAAGGGAAGCAUUUAUUGAUUAUUGGAUUAAUGGCAACUUGUUGACAAUGGAUAUAGCAACUCAAAUAUUCACAAUUUUAAAGCAACCACAUCUGAAGUACCUUACUCAGGAUGAUUUUAAGCCUGUACUACGUGAGCUUUUAGCAACACAUCCAGGGCUGGAGUUCCUACAAAGCACACCGGAGUUUCAAGAGAGAUAUGCUGAAACUGUAAUAUACAGAAUAUAUUAUUACAUUAAUAGAUCUGGAAAUGGCCGUCUUACCCUGAGGGAGUUGAAGCGUGGAAACAUAAUUGAUGCGAUGCUACAUGCAGAUGAAGAGGAGGACAUCAACAAGGUUUUGAGAUACUUCUCGUACGAGCAUUUUUAUGUUAUAUACUGCAAGUUUUGGGAGCUGGAUACAGAUCAUGAUUUCUUGAUAGACAAAGAGAAUCUUAUCAGAUAUGGCAACCAUGCACUUACCUAUCGAAUUGUUGAUAGAAUAUUUUCUCAGGUUGCAAGAAAGUUUACCAGCAAGGUUGAGGGAAAGAUGGGAUAUGAAGAUUUUGUUUACUUCAUACUGGCAGAAGAGGAUAAACCAUCUGAGCCAAGCCUUGAAUAUUGGUUCAAGUGCAUAGAUUUGGAUGGAAAUGGAGUUCUUACACGGAAUGAAUUGCAAUUUUUUUAUGAGGAGCAAUUGCAUCGAAUGGAAUGUAUGGCCCAAGAGCCUGUGCAAUUUGAGGAUAUAUUGUGCCAGAUGAUUGAUAUGAUUAAACCUGAGAAUGAACACUUUAUAACUCUGCGCGACCUGAAAGGUGGUAAACUCUCAGGCAGUAUUUUCAAUAUUCUGUUCAAUCUAAACAAGUUCAUGGCCUUGGAAACCCGGGAUGCAUUUUUAAUUCGUCAGGAGCGCGAGAAUCCGACAUUAACAGAGUGGGAUCGAUUUGCUCAUAGAGAAUAUAUUAGGCUUUCAAUGGAAGAAGACGUUGAAGAUGCCUCUAAUGGAAGUGCAGAAGUCUGGGAUGAAUCACUUGAGGCUCCCUUCUAGGAUUUUAUAUUAUUAUCUAUACCAUUUCCUUUCAUCAUUUCUUAAAAAGGUGGACACUUUAAUGAUGAUGCCUUCACAUGAAGAUUACAUUCUGAGCCAUUAGAUGGAUCAAUAUAUUUGACUGAACCACCAAACAAUUUACAAUGUGAUCUUCAUGUGAAGGGGAUGAAAAGAAAUUAAUGCCCCAGAUUUAAUCGACUGGCCGUUGCUCAGAGACAUUGGACUAAGUAUCAUCUCAAACUUUUGCUACCUUAAAUGGGAAAUUCCAAGGUUUUUAUUCUGGCAUGUGUUUUUUUGGAUGGGCAAGCUGCAACAAUAUUCAGAUCUUUCUGGCGGGAGUGAUGUACAUUGGGGCCAUUGGUCAUGGAAAUUUUGUUGCUUUGUGUACAAAUAUAUCCAUGCAAAGUGCUGAGAAGUGACUAGCCCGGUGCUUGAAUUAUAUUGAAAUUGAUAUAUCGUUUUCAGUAUGCUUGUUAUUUGGGGUCACCUAAGUUGUUCCAAGGAAAAUUAAUUGAAAGAUUUUCACUUUUGGACCUUUUUAGUUGUUUUGCUUCAGUGGUCGAGUCACUUUGCCCUCGGAUCUCUCUCCAAGAGUACAUUUUAGUUUUUUGUCUUCUUUUGUUCCCAUCUUGUUAAGCCCAUUAAAGAAUUUAACAGUAAUGAUACAAUAAUUGUAUUUUUCCCCCUACACAAUUAGAUAUCCUUCUAAGAGCUUUUCCUUUCAA